UUCGAUCCUGGCUCCAGAUUGAACGCUGGCAGGAUGCUUACACAUGCAAGUCGAACGGCAGCACGGACUUCGGUCUGGUGGCAGUGGCGAACGGGUGAGUAAUGUAUCGGAACGUGCCUGAAGCUGGCGGGGGGAUAACUACGCGGCCCGUAGCUAAUGCCGCAUACGCCCUUCGGGGAAAGCGGGGGACCUUCGGGCCUCGCACUAUUAAACGGCCGAUAUCGGAUUAGCUAGUUUGAACGGAGUAACGGCUCACCAAGGCGACGUCCGUAGCUGGGUUUUGAAGGACGACCAGCCACACUGGGACUGAGACACGGCCCAGACUCCUGCGGGAGGCAGCAGUGGGGAAUUUUGGACAAUGGGGAAACCCUGAUCAGCCAUCCCGCGUGUGCGAUGAAGGCCUUCGGGUUGCCAAAGCACUUUUGGCGGAAAGAAACGGCUGCGGGAUAAUACCCCGUGCAACUGGCCCCGAAACUACCCUGCAGAAUGGCACACCGGCUUCAACUUCCCGUGCCAGCAGCCGCGGUAAUACGUAGGGUGCAAGCGUUAAUCGGAAUUACUGGGCGUAAAGCGUGCGCAGGCGGUUCGGAAAGAAGAUGUGAAAUCCAGAGCUUAACUUUGGAACUGCAUUUUUAACUGCAAGCUGAGAGUGUCAGAGGGAGGUGGAAUUCCGUGUAGCAGUGGAAAUGCGUAGAUAUGCGGAGAACACCGAUGGCGAAGGCAGCCUCCUGGGAUAACACUGACGCUCAUGCACGAAAGCGUGGGGAGCAAACAGGAUUAGAUACCCUGGUAGUCACGCCCCUAAACGAUGUCAACUAGCUGUUGGGGCCUUCGGGCCUUGGUAGCGCAACUAACGCGUGAAGUUGACCGCCUGGGGAGUACGGUCGCAAGAUUAAAACUCAAGACUGACGGGGACCCGCACAAGCGGUGGAUGAUGUGGAUUAAUUCGAUGCAACGCGAAAAACCUUACCUACCCUUGACAUGUCUGGAAUCCCGAAGAGAUUUGGGAGUGCUCGCAAGAGAACCGGAACACAGGUGCUGCAUGGCUGUCGUCAGCUCGUGUCGUGAGAUGUUGGGUUAAGUCCCGCAACGAGCGCAACCCUUGUCAUUAGUUGCUACGAAAAGGGCCUCUAAUGAGACUGCCGGUGACAAACCGGAAGGUGGGGAUGACGCCAAGUCCUCAUGGCCCUUAUGGUGGGCUUCACGUCAUACAAUGGUCGGGACAGAGGUCGCCAACCCGCGAGGGCCAAUCCCAGAAACCCGAUCGUAGUCGGAUCUGAUCUGCAACUCGACUGCGUGGAGUCGGAAUCGCUAGUAAUCGCGGAUCAGCAUGUCGCCGUUGAAUACGUUCCCGGGUCUUGUACACCGCCCGUCCACACCAUGGGAGUGGAACUUUUACCAGAAGUAAUUAUUCUAACCGUAAGGAGGGCGAUUAUACAUUAGGAUUCAUGACUGGGGGGUGAUCGUAACAAGGUAA
rnacentral:rRNA from 1 species